CUUCCCCCCACUCAGACCACACUCAUAACACAUGGAAACCAAUAUAUCUGUAGUGUCUAGCGGAGGUGCUUCAACGCGUAUGUUCUCAUUGGAUUGUUACAACAUGGUUACCAUGUGAGACAGGAAUCCUGGUCUCCAUCUUGCAGUGGAGUAAACAGAAACUCAGAAGGGACUGGCCCAAGAGCAUAUUCUGCAAAGCGGCAGAUGGACAUAAGUCUUUGGGGGAGCAAAUUGCUGUGGCAGAAAUCCUGGGCCUUGACCUUUCAGGGAUUGUACUCAGAGAAGGUACAUUAAAGCUGGAAGACCAACUGGACUUAAAUAGUCCAUGACUUUCGUGCUAUGGACAAGAGAGCUGAGACCAGCCUGGGUUAAGAGGCACAGUGACCAUGAAACAGAUGUAACUGCUUAUGAUCUGAACUCCAGCACUGCCUUAUAAUUCAAGAAUCCUGGAGAUCCAUAAGAAAUCUGAUGCCCUCUGAUUCUUGUUCAUUGUUGUCAGCCCUGAUGCCAAGAACUUCUUGAGGGAGAAGAGGAUCACUCAACCUUACUGCUCCCACAGAGUCAGACAGUUGCAUUCAUUGUUUCUUGCCAACCUGUUUGUCCUGUAGUAGUUUCUCAAGGUAUACACUGAAAGGAAAAAAUAAUAAUAACUUACUCUUUCCUGGUAGAGUUACAUCCAAUGAUAACUUUUACAUGGCAAAAUAGGCCUGGGUUUCAAGGAAUUUGUUCCUUCAACACACGUGUGAAUUAGAAACGUACCAGAUUCUGCCUUUCCAGACAUCCUCCCACUACGUGUGUAUAAAAAUUUUGUAGUACCCAUUUAUAUUUGCUGGGCAAGUGUGUCAUUGCUUUAGUCUCUCAGCCUAACUACUAUCAUUGAUGGAAGCUUAACUAUUCAUACCACAGACUCAUAAAUAAGGUACCAUAACCAUAAAUAGGCAUAAACAAGACAACCAGUUGACUUAAUAAUACAUUCCUCAAAUUGUAGGGCAUGAGCUCAUGAGGCACAUCUUUGUAAGUGUCAGCUCAGGAAAAAACAAACCUUUAAAAUCGCAGUGAGUCAUGGACACAUUGUUUUCCUAUGUAGCCCUGCAUCCCUCUUUAUAAUGGCAACUGCAUACUGUCAAGUCAAUCUUGCAUCACCCAAAACUUCUUUAAACUAAGCAUUGUGGAUUUGUGAGAGUACAAAUGAUACCCCAGACUGUGGGUGCAGAAGCAGAGUUUAACAUUGUCUGCCAUACAAGAAAAAUUCAUUCUCCUCCUGGCUCCAUGAUAUUCCCAUGCCAGUAUCUCUUGCUUGGAUCCACUAAGGUAAUUUUCCUUUUUCAGGUUUUAAUGAGCUUGGGAAACAGACAAGGCAUGUCAAAAAGUAGAAGAAAGGAAAGGAAAGAAAACAAACACGAUGCUCUGCUAUGCCUUCUCAUUUAACCCUGGAAAACAGUGCAAAGAAUUAUUCACAGAUGAGGACAUGUGGCAUGAAAAGUUGAUACCUAUGAUUAUGUAGUCUGUUGCAAAUCUUGAAUUUGCAGGAAUUUGACUCCACAACCCAUCAUGCUAUUAUACUACUGCUAGAAGUCUCUUUUAAUACUCAUACUUUUUUUUGGAUUAAAAAUCCAAAUUUUAUUUUUAACCUG